GUGUCAGCAGCCGCGGUAAUACGGAGGGUGCAAGCGUUGCUCGGAAUUACUGGGCGUAAAGGGCGUGUAGGCGGUGUCGUAUGUCUGACGUGAAAGCCCCGGGCUCACCCCGGGAAGUGCGUUGGAAACUGCGAGACUAGAGUCCCGGAGAGGAAGGUGGAAUUCCAGGUGUAGCGGUGAAAUGCGUAGAUAUCUGGAAGAACACCGGCGGCGAAGGCGGCCUUCUGGACGGUGACUGACGCUGAGACGCGAAAGCGUGGGGAGCAAACAGGAUUAGAUACCCUGGUAGUCCACGCCAUAAACGAUGAGCACUAGGUGUCGCGGGUAUUGACCCCUGCGGUGCCACAGCUAACGCAUUAAGUGCUCCGCCUGGGGAAUACGGCCGCAAGGUUAAA
rnacentral:rRNA from 1 species